rnacentral:pre_miRNA from 2 species
GCCUGCCCUCCAGGAGCUCUCAAUCUAGUGGGAAAGUCAGAAAGGCAACUCAAUAGACUGUGAGCUCCUUGAGGGCAAGGA